UCUAACAAUGCGUAAAUCCAUGAAGAAAUAGCACGGCAUAUAUAAAAAUGCGACACCAGCUGAAUGUUAUUGCAGCCAUGGCGAUGAUCGUUCAAAUAUCAAUGCUGUGUUGGUUACUGCUCUCGGUGUCCUGUAGCCCGGGAAGCGAUAGGACUGACCAACACCCGUCGAAAUCGCCAAUUCCAUUGGAACUACACAGCCUCAGAGUGAAAG